rnacentral:rRNA from 1 species
AUUGAACGCUGGCGGCAGGCCUAACACAUGCAAGUCGAACGAGUGGCGGACGGGUGAGUAAUGUCUGGGAAACUGCCCGAUGGCGGGGGAUAACUACUGGAAACGGUAGCUAAUACCGCAUACCCUCGGAUGUGCCCAGAUGGGAUUAGCUAGUAGGUGGGGUAACGGCUCACCUAGGCAACGAUCCCUAGCUGGUCUGAGAGAAUGACCAGCAACACGGGAACUGAGACACGGUCCAGACUCCUACGGGAGGCAGGAGGGGGGAAUAUUGCACAAGGGGCGAACGCCUGAUGCAGCCAUGCCGCGUGUAUGAAGAAGGCCUUCGGGUUGUAAAGUACUUUCAGCGGGGAGGCGUUACCCGCAGAAGAAGCACCGGCUAACUCCGUGCCAGCCGCCGCGGAAUUC